rnacentral:rRNA from 1 species
UACAGGGGGUGCAAACGUUGCUCGGAAUCAUUGGGCGUAAAGCGCGCGCAGGCGGUCCUUUAAGUCUGAUGUGAAAGCCCACGGCUCAACCGUGGAGGGUCAUUGGAAACUGGGGGACUUGAGUACAGAAGAGAAGAGUGGAAUUCCACGUGUAGCGGUGAAAUGCGUAGAGAUGUGGAGGAACACCAGUGGCGAAGGCGACUCUUUGGUCUGUAACUGACGCUGAGGCGCGAAAGCGUGGGGAGCAAACAGG